GACGCUAUCACCUAGUGGUUAUGGUGGGAAUUUACUACUAUCUCUGUAUUAUGUUCCUGUGCUUGCACACCAGGGUUCGAAUCCCUGUGGCGUCU